rnacentral:rRNA from 1 species
UACGUAGGGUGCGAGCGUUGUCCGGAAUUACUGGGCGUAAAGAGCUCGUAGGUGGUUUGUCGCGUUGUCCGUGAAAACUCACAACUCAAUUGUGGGCGUGCGGGCGAUACGGGCAGACUGGAGUACUGCAGGGGAGACUGGAAUUCCCGGUGUAGCGGUGAAAUGUGUAGAGAUCGGGAGGAACACCGGUGGCGAAGGCGGCCUUCUGGACGGUGACUGACGCUGAGGCGCGAAAGCGUGGGGAGCAAACGGG